rnacentral:rRNA from 1 species
CGGCCUUGAAAUACCACCCUUUAAUGUUUGAUGUUCUAACGUGGACCCGUGAUCCGGGUUGCGGACAGUGUCUGGUGGGUAGUUUGACUGGGGCGGUCUCCUCCUAAAGAGUAACGGAGGAGCACGAAGGUUGGCUAAUCCUGGUCGGACAUCAGGAGGUUAGUGCAAUGGCAUAAGCCAGCUUGACUGCGAGCGUGACGGCGCGAGCAGGUGCGAAAGCAGGUCAUAGUGAUCCGGUGGUUCUGAAUGGAAGGGCCAUCGCUCAACGGAUAAAAGGUACUCCGGGGAUAACAGGCUGAUACCGCCCAAGAGUUCAUAUCGACGGCGGUGUUUGGCACCUCGAUGUCGGCUCAUCACAUCCUGGGGCUGAAGUAGGUCCCAAGGGUAUGGCUGUUCGCCAUUUAAAGUGGUACGCGAGCUGGGUUUAGAACGUCGUGAGACAGUUCGGUCCCUAUCUGCCGUGGGCGCUGGAGAACUGAGGGGGGCU